rnacentral:rRNA from 1 species
GGGAGGCCACAUAGGGGAUUUUUCCGCAAUGGGCGAAAGCCUGACGGAGCAACACCGCGUGAGGGAGGAAGGCCUGUAGGUUGUCAACCUCUUUUCUCAAGGAAGAAGACAGUAGCGGUACUUGAGGAAUCAGCAUCGGCUAACAGCGUGCCAGCAGCCGCGGUAAGACUGAGCAUGCAAGCGUUAUCCGUAAUUAUUGGGCGUAAAGUGCCCGCAGGUGGAUUCACAAGUAUGAUGUUAAAUUGCAGAGGUUAACUCAGUAAAGACGUUGGAAACUGUACGUCUUAAGUAUGGUAGGGGUAGAGGGAAUUUUCGGUGCAGCGGUUAAAUGUGUAGAUAUGCGGGAAGAACACCAGUGGCGAAAGCGGCCUGGUGGGCCAUAACUGACAUUGAGGGACGAAAGCUAGGGGAGCGAAAGGGAUUAAAUACCCUUGUAGUCCUACCCGUAAUCGAUGGACACUAGGUGUUGGCCGUAUCGACCCGGUGCAGCGUCGGUAGAAUAAUCGCCUUAAGUUGCCCGACUGGAUAC